GUGCCAGCAGCCGCGGUAAUACGAAGGGUGCAAGCGUUACUCGGAAUUACUGGGCGUAAAGCGUGCGUAGGUGGUUGUUUAAGUCUGUUGUGAAAGCCCUGGGCUCAACCUGGGAAUUGCAGUGGAUACUGGGCAACUAGAGUGUGGUAGAGGGUAGUGGAAUUCCCGGUGUAGCAGUGAAAUGCGUAGAGAUCGGGAGGAACAUCCAUGGCGAAGGCAGCUACCUGGACCAACACUGACACUGAGGCACGAAAGCGUGGGGAGCAAACAGGAUUAGAUACCCUGGUAGUCCACGCCCUAAACGAUGCGAACUGGAUGUUGGGUGCAAUUUGGCACGCAGUAUCGAAGCUAACGCGUUAAGUUCGCCGCCUGGGGAGUACGGUCGCAAGACUGAAACUCAAAGGAAUUGACGGGGGCCCGCACAAGCGGU
rnacentral:rRNA from 1 species